UACGAAGGGGGGCUAGCGUUGCUCGGAAUGACUGGGCGUAAAGCGCGUGUAGGCGGCCCGGUAAGUCCGCUGUGAAAAGUCGGGGGGCUCAACCCUCGAAUGCCGGUGGAUACUGUCGGGCUAGAGUGCGGAAGAGGCGAAGUGGAAUUCCUGGUGUAGCGGUGAAAUGCGCAGAUAUCAGGAGGAACACCAAUUGCGAAGGCAGCUCGCUGGGACGUUACUGACGCUGAGACGCGAAAAGCGUGGGGGGAGCAAAACAGG
rnacentral:rRNA from 1 species